rnacentral:rRNA from 1 species
CCUACGGGUGGCAGCAGUGGGGAAUAUUGCGCAAUGGGCGAAAGCCUGACGCAGCGACGCCGCGUGAGGGAUGAAGGUCUUCGGAUCGUAAACCUCUGUCAGCAGGGAAGAACGGUCACUGUGCUAAUCAGCAGUGAAUUGACGGUACCUGCAAAGGAAGCACCGGCUAACUCCGUGCCAGCAGCCGCGGUAAUACGGAGGGUGCGAGCGUUAAUCGGAAUUACUGGGCGUAAAGCGCUCGUAGGCGGUAUGUCAAGUCAAGGGUGAAAUCCCCGCGCUCAACGGGGGAACUGCCUUUGAAACUGGGAAACUGGAGUGUGGGAGAGGAUAGUAGAAGUCCAGGUGUAGGAGUGAAAUGCGUAGAUAUCUGGAGGAACAGCAGAGGCGAAGGCGACUAUCUGGCACAUAACUGACGCUGAGGAGCGAAAGCGUGGGUAGCAAACAGGAUUAGAUACCCGAGUAGUC